UCGUCGAGAAGGGGGAGCACGACGACCUGCUGGUACCCAGCGUGACGGCCCUGGGCUGCCUGUCGAGGACGUUCCGGGCGACCGAGUCCCGGGUGAUCGCUCCGCUGGUGCGCCUGCUCGACGAGACGGAAGCGACGGUGAUGAGCGAGGCGGUGGCGGCGCUGACCAAGUUCGCGUGCACCGAGAACUACCUGCACGUCAACCACUCGCAGGCCAUCAUCGAGGCCGGAGGGGCGAGGCACCUGAUCCAGCUGGUGUACCUGGGGGAGCAGGUGCAGGUCGAGGCGUUGGUCC
rnacentral:lncRNA from 1 species